CGGAGGGUGCAAGCGUUAUCCGGAUUUACUGGGUUUAAAGGGUGUGUAGGCGGGCUGUUAAGUCAGUGGUGAAAUCUCCGGGCUCAACCCGGAAACUGCCAUUGAUACUAAUGGUCUUGAAUCCUGUUGAGGUGGGCGGAAUAUGUCAUGUAGCGGUGAAAUGCAUAGAUAUGACAUAGAACACCGAUUGCGAAGGCAGCUCACUAAGCAGGCAUUGACGCUGAGGCACGAAAGCGUGGGGGAUCAAACAGGAUUAGAUACCCUGGUAGUCCACGCCCUAAACGAUGAUUACUGGACGUGACGUCGAUAUUACGGUGCGCGUCUGAGCGAAAGCAUUAAGUAAUCCACCUGGGAAGUACGUCCGGCAAGGAUGG
rnacentral:rRNA from 1 species